rnacentral:rRNA from 1 species
AUUGAACGCUGGCGGAAUGCUUUACACAUGCAAGUCGAACGGCAGCACGGACUUCGGUCUGGUGGCGAGUGGCGAACGGGUGAGUAAUGUAUCGGAACGUGCCCAGUCGUGGGGGAUAACGUAGUGAAAAUUACGCUAAUACCGCAUACGAUCUAAGGAUGAAAGCGGGGGGAUCGCAAGACCUCGCGCGAUUGGUGCGGCCGAUAUCAGAUUAGGUAGUUGGUGGGGUAAAGGCCCACCAAGCCAACGAUCUGUAGCUGGUCUGAGAGGACGACCAGCCACACUGGAACUGAGACACGGUCCAGACUCCUACGGGAGGCAGCAGUGGGGAAUUUUGGACAAUGGGCGAAAGCCUGAUCCAGCCAUUCCGCGUGCAGGAUGAAGGCCCUCGGGUUGUAAACUGCUUUUGUACAGAACGAAAAGGUUUCUACUAAUACUAGGAGCUCAUGACGGUACUGUAAGAAUAAGCACCGGCUAACUACAUGCCAGCAGCCGCAGUAA